UAAGCAUCGCAGUGGAAUUAUUAAACUUGUAGUUUGUUUUGAUCCCCGAUUGUUGCAAAGAAGAGGAGAAAGUGGAUUGAUAGAUGCAGGGCUGCACAAGGUACUGAAAAAGGGACAGUGCUUUGAGUGAAUGUGUUAUCCAUGUAUCUGCAAAUGAAGCAGAUCCCCCAGUGAAGAGUGUGACAACUUCCAACUUCCAAGUUGUUAAUGACGGAACUCCAUUUAAAUCAGAUGCUCCUUUCCAUCUGAUGUUUUCCAGGUUUUUGUGAAAAGUUUUCUUAAAAAAUGGCACCAUUCAACCACAAAUACUAUGCCAGUGGAACUGUGAUAUCAAUCAACUGCUUAUGACACUGUUAAUUGGCAGAGAAAUUAUUUUUUUUUUAUUUGGGACAAGCAAUCUGUUUCAAACAUUUUAUGCCUGCAAAUUGGUACAUGUACUUCAUGAAAUGCUUGAAGGAUGCUAAAGGCUACUGAAAUUCCAA